rnacentral:lncRNA from 10 species
CUGACCUCAGGUGAUCUGCCUGCCUCGGCCUCGGCCAAAAAUCUGUAAACUCUGGGUUCUCUGAGUUUGCUGAAACGCAAAACCUCUGAGCUCACAGCUGCUCACUCAGCCCAAAGUGCUGGGAUUACAGAGGUAAGAGAUGUUGAAGGGGCAGGUGUUUUGUUUUGUCUUUUAAAUAUUUUUGUGGAGAGUUACAUGUCAGCACAGAGUCAGGGGCUAUGCGAAAUUAUGCUCACAAGCAGAAAUGAGUAAACACGGCUUUUUAUAUUUAUUUCAUUUUGUAAGUUUUCUCUUUUGCUCAUAAAUCCACCAUCCAGUUAUGUUUAUAAGACCAGUGUUGACUGUCUCAUGGUUAGGAAGCUUCUUUUUUAGGAAGACAUGUAAUUUGUACUUGUAAGGAAUGAGUAUUGGGCCCAGUGUGUAUAUUUGUCUAUUUAUCGGAAAAUAUGUUUUGGAUUAUAUCUAUUUUUUAA